rnacentral:rRNA from 1 species
GACGAACGCUGGCGGCGUGCUUAACACAUGCAAGUCGAACGGAAAGGCCCUGCUUUUGUUGGGUGCUCGAGUGGCGAACGGGUGAGUAACACGUGAGUAACCUGCCCUUGACUUUUGGAUAACUUCAAGAAACUGGGGCUAAUACCGGAUAGGAGUUCCUGCUGCAUGGUGGGGGUUGGAAAGUUUGGGCGGUUGGGGAUGGACUCGCGGCUUAUCAGUUUGUUGGGGGGGUAGUGGCUUACCAAGGCUUUGACGGGUAGCCGGCCUGAGAGGGUGACCGGCCAAAUUGGGACGGAGAUACGGCCCAGACUCCUACGGGAGGCAGCAGUGGGGAAUAUUGCACAAUGGGCGGAAGCCGGAUGCAGCAACGCCGCGUGCGGGAUGACGGCCUUCGGGUUGUAAACCGCUUCCGCCUGUGACGAAGCGUGAGUGACGGUAAUGGGUAAAGAAGCACCGGCUAACUACGUG